rnacentral:lncRNA from 1 species
GAGCUCCUGGAGGGUCAGCGUCUCCCACCGCCUCUGAUGUGGGAGGACAUGUCCGACUCAGGCCCUCCGCCCCCGAGGCUCAUAAAGCCGCGUCAGCACAGCCCUGCCGCGGCUCGGCGGCUGGUCCAGCCACAGCGCUUUGCUGGGGGGCGACUGGCCCCGGCCCUGCUGCGCAGCUGCUCUCUCCUGCGCCGGCGCGUCUGGUCGCGGGAUGUGACCCUGCCUGGCCCAGCACCUGCCGCAGUCUCGCUGCUGGGCGCUCCGAGAGCACAGGGCCUUGGUGCCCCUCUGGACGAGCCAGCGAGGACACGAGCAGGAUAAAGGACAAAAACAAGUUAUUCCGGUCUCUCUGUUUCUUCUUGUUGUUGUUUUUCUGAUGGAUAAAAGGGAGGACUUCCAGCAGAGGCCUGGCUGCUACCAUGCGGCAUCCAGGCAGAGGGUUUCACCAAGUGUUGACUCUUGGUCUUUUCAGAAAACGACCCUUUUCCUGUCCGCUCACUGCACUUGCUCUGCGACUCUCCUUGUAAGUGCAGUUUCCACACCAAGCCUCCUCGGAGCGCCCCUUGGCCUUUAUAGGUGCAGUUCUCAUUUAUGCCCAUUUUUAUAUAGUUUGUUAUAUAUAUUUGGUUCCUUCCUAACACAAAAAUUAUAUCUAAGAAUGUUUUUAUCUGUGCCUGAAAUCUUUUUAAAGCUAAGCUUUUGUUUUCUUAUGCUUCAAGAGGCCAGUAAACAUAUUGUGACGACAGAUGCAUACCUGAGCGCCCACACCUGGGCAGUCAACCUGAGAGUCCACACCUGAGCAUCCACACCUGGGCAUCCACACCUGAGCAUCCGUACCUGCAUCUCCACGCAGACCCACUGACCACACUGCCCAUCGCUGCCCUUUGGAGCUUCUUGACGUUUUCCAUAUGGCUGGUAGACGGUCAACGUUUGUGGUAGCUCCAUGUGUGAAUAAAGACCAAGAAUCAUAGGACUUGAGCAACACAAAACAUAUAAAAUAAAAUCAAGCUUUUAAAAGAAGGCUUUAUUGGCACUUUUUUGGCUUCUUGAUUUGCUGCUUUAAAUUAGAGCGGAGGCCCUGCCCCUGGCUGGGGGCGGGGGACCAUGCUGACCCCCGGCCGAGGCCUGGACCAGCUGGGACACCGGUGGCCCGUGCUUUCCCCUGGAGGCGUUCUCUCUUGCUCCCGGCAGCCCCGCCUCCCAGGGAAACGCAGCACUUGAGCUGGCGCGUCCUGCAGGCAGGGGCUCCAACCCCGCACCCUGGCAUGCUCCCCCAGCCUCGGCCCCCAGGGUGGCGUAAGGGGUAGAAAGGCCCUCCCUGCCCCUCCCCUGCCAGGGCACAAACCUUCCUCCCUUCCUGCUGCCCCCUCCCUGCUCCCAGAAUAGCCUGUGGCCAGAGCCGCUGCAGUAAACAGCCUGCCUGGGUGAGCCGCCCGCAGGAAACGUCCUGGGAGCUGGAGGCACAGGGCCAGCUCCUCGCCAGCCACUGGGCCCGCGGGCGGGCACUGCAGGCAGGCGGGCAGGGGCCGGCGGGGCCUGGAGGGAGGCAGCCCCGUUCUCAGGCCUCACCGCCCCCCUUGCUCCCGCCCCAGGAAGGAGCCUGGCCCCUUCUGGAAACGCUCCCAGGCACUGGGCAGGAGACCCGCUCACCCAGUGCUGGAGGGGCGCAGCAUCUGGGGUGCCCCCCACGGCCACUCCUCACCCGGCGCUUCCAGGAGCCCCUGGGGCACUGCGGGCUGCACCCCGAAGCCUCUCCCCGGCUGUGCCCUCUUCUUCCUGCGCCCCCCACACCAUCCGCAGGCGUCUGCAGAGCCGGUUCUCUGGCCCCCAGGAGAGGCGAUGGGCAGCCCCGGUCUCACGUCUCCUUUUUUCUUGGAGGGACGGAAGGGGGCUCAGCAGAGGCACCGGCUCAUGGGGGGGGGGGGCCGGGGCAUCAGCCCCUCCCAGCGUGACGGCCCCCGGGGACCCGACCGUGCCCCUGCGCCCAGGCGCUUUCCCUGGAGGUGCCCCGGCUGCGGGCACCCCCAGUCCCCUGGCCGGGCACAGCCGCCUCUGCAGGGCGUCCCGCCACUCCACCCCCCCAGGCUGGCUCCCUGCU